GACGAACGCUGGCGGCGUGCUUAACACAUGCAAGUCGAGCGGAAAGGCCACUUCGGUGGUACUCGAGCGGCGAACGGGUGAGUAACACGUGAGUAAUCUGCCCCUCACUUUGGGAUAGCCACCGGAAACGGUGAUUAAUACCGGAUAUGACCAUAUGUCGCAUGGCGUGUGGUGGAAAGUUUUUCGGUGAGGGAUGUGCUCGCGGCCUAUCAGCUUGAUGGUGGGGUAAUGGCUCACCAUGGCUUCGACGGGUAGCCGGCCUGAGAGGGUGACCGGUCACACUGGGACUGAGACACGGCCCAGACUCCUACGGGAGGCAGCAGUGGGGAAUAUUGGACAAUGGGCGGAAGCCUGAUCCAGCAACGCCGCGUGAGGGAUGACGGCCUUCGGGUUGUAAACCUCUUUCAGUACCGACGAAGCGAAAGUGACGGUAGGUACAGAAGAAGCACCGGCCAACUACGUG
rnacentral:rRNA from 1 species